rnacentral:misc_RNA from 1 species
GAAAUUUCUAUUAGAGGGAAAGAAUUGCAACGCCCUCACAAUAGGUAGUUCGUAUAUUUUACUGUUCCGAUGACUAAUGUCUGUUCGGACAGUCAAAAUGUCUGGAACUACACCUAAACUAUAGUGAGAGGCAUAAAUUAAAGAAAUAAAUGUUAGGAAAAUAUAGGAAAAAUUUAGAGAAAAAUAAAUUAAAGUUUAGAGAAUUUAUAAAUUGGUAUAAAAUAAUAAAAAUA